CCCUUAGAUGUUCUGGGCUGCACGCGCGCUACACUGAUACUUUCAGCGAGUCCACCACCUUGCCUGGAAAGGUGGGGUAACCUCUGGAAAGUGCAUCGUGAUGGGGAUCGAUUAUUGUAAUUAUUAAUCUUCAACGAGGAAUUCCUAGUAAGCAUGUGUCAUCAGCCCGUGCUGAUUACGUCCCUGCCCUUUGUACACACCGCCCGUCGCACCUACCGAUUGAAUGGUCCGGUGAAAUCUCGGGACGGCGGCUUGGUCGCUUGCGUCCGACUGCUGAAACUUGAUUAAACCAUAUCAUUUAGAGGAAGGUGAAGUCGUAACA
rnacentral:rRNA from 1 species